ensembl:lncRNA
UUUUUCUUUUUUUUGUUUUCUUUUUACAGCCACACCUGUGACAUAUGGAAGUUCCCAGGCCAGGGGGUCAAAUCAGAGCUGCAGUCCCACACCACAGCCACACCAGAAAUGAGAUGCAUCUUCAGCCUAUACCACAACUCACAGCAACACUGGAAUUCUAACCCCCUGAGAGACACCAGGGUUUAAACCCGUAAUCUCAUGGACACUAUGUCAAAUUCUUAAUCCACCGAACCACAAUGGGAACUGCACAAUUUUUCUGAUCACAUUUAAUCCAUUCAACAAAUAGCAUCAAAACGGGGUGGGGGGCCUGGAUUUUUGUGCUGGGUGCUAAGUAUAAAGUGCCAGGUACAACUAAUACAGCCUUUGCCCUCAGGGAUCUUACUAUCUUUUCUGUCCGUCCACCUAUCUAAGCCCCGCCAGUCUACUAUUAUGAAGAAAUUAACUCCACACUGCCAUGCAGAUUUAUACUGGCUCAAGAUAUAGCAGAGAUUGUUGAGCCUUAAAUAUUUCAAGUUAUUUUGUGUCUGUCUGUCUGUAUACAUACACAUUGUAUUAGUUUUCUAGGACUGCCAUAGCAAAGUAAUACAAACUGAGUGGUAAUCAGAAAUUUGUCUCACAGUUCUAAAGGCUAGAUGUUCAAGGUCAAGGUGUCAGUAGGACCAUGCUUCAUCUCAAGGUGCUAAUAAAGGACCUGUUUCAGGCUUUUCUCCUAGCUUUUGUGGGUUCCUAGGCUAUGGCAGCAUAUAUAUACUUUACAUAUAUAUACUUUUUCCUUCUUUUUCAGGUUAACAUUUAUUGCACACUCAUUGUAGGCAACUGGUAAGUUCUCAAAACACAUAGCCUAGCAACACACAGCUUCCCUUGCAAGGGCUUCAGAGAUAUACCUACUGUAUUUUAUGGAAACAUGUAGGAGAGAACAGUAAUUUGGGUGAGAAAAAGAGGACACUGGAAGGCUGGGGAUAGGUAUUUCAGUGUAAACAAAGGUUCUGAGGUGUGAAAAUAUGGUCUGCCUGAAAAUCUCUUAUUUCGCCUAGCCCUUAGUCACACCUUCAGCCAUAUUUUUACACUUUUCUACUUUGCCUUUUUACGCUUACAGCUCUUUCAACUCCUUUGCCUCUAAUUCACCCAUCUUUCUACUCACUACAACUUAACACUUCUGGGAAGUAUUUUAGAAAAUACUUUAAAAGCUUUGAAAUGUCAACUGGUCCAAUAGUUUUACCCAUAGGAAUUUAUAUGAGGGAAGCAGGAAUUCUUUCAAAACCUUAAGUUACUUAAGUCUCAUUUACAUUAGCAUAAAAAUUUUAAAUUAAAUGCUUAACGACAGGGAACUACUGGAGAUAAAUUAAAACACAUUAAUUAGAAGAAAUUAUCAAACACUUAAAAUUUGUUUUGCAAGGACUAUUUAAUAAUAAGGUAGAUAACAUAUGCUUAUAUAACAUGUAUUUUUAUAUCACUAAAGCAAAAUGUCCUAUUUAUUGGGUAAGUAUGGCCUGCUGUAUGUGUGUACACUGCAGUGCAAUUUAAAAAAUACUAUAAUUAUCAUUUCAGAACUUCAAAAUUUGAAUAGGCGCCAAUGUUCUCUCCUUUUUAUAUAUGGUAAAAGGAAAGAAAAUCCUUUGAAAAUCAUUUGACGCAUGGACAAAAAUUCCAUAGCUAUAUUCCUAGGAUCACUCUGUACAGUCUUCAUGAUUCAGAUGAUACAAAGGGAGCUUCAAUUCAGCCUUGCGGAGAAGACGUCCUUGCUCUGAUCUCCUCAAUCAGGAGAAUGCUGGUGGCGAUCUCAGUGCAGAAGUGAAGAAGCUGUUUCUUUACACAGCAGUUAUCCCAGAUGCCUAUUUCUGCUGCUACCACUGGCUCAUCUCCUGUGUUAAAGUCCAUGCCCACUAGUUGACAUGAUUCUGAAUGUUCUCCUUGAACUUUAACUAGUGUUUCCUGAAGAUCAACACCAGAGUUCUGGGCAAGAACAUUAGGAAUAAUGAGUAACACAUAAGCAAGAACUUGAACUGCAGGUUGGGCCCUGCCCUUUACACUGAGCUUGUAUUUAAUCAGGGCUCUGGCCAUUGCCGCUUCCACUGUACCAGCACGUGGAACUACAGAGCCAUCAUCAGUGACAUUUUUAACAGCCCUCAAGACAUAUCUUAUUGCAUCUUUGAUUUGUGUGAGGAUGUGCUUAUUUGGUCCUUUGAUCAAUAAUGUGACAGAGACAGGAUUGUUACAUUUCUCAGUAAAGGUGAACUUCUCUUUUCCCCAUGUUCCAAACAUUCAGGCUUUAGGUCAUCAAGAGAACUUAGGGCUACUCUACCACAAACAAGAGUCAGCCUUUCCAUAGUUCUCCUUUUAGCUCUGCAUGGGGCUACUACAUCUUCUUUUGUGAGAGCAUCUAAGGAAAGGGGGUCAAUUCCCUUCUGAUUAAUAAAAACAAAUCCUUUAUCUGAAUUACCACAGACUUUUGUUUUCAGUUCUAGUAUUUUGUGAACUCUAUCUUCCAUGAAUUUUCUUUCUUUAAUGUGCAUUUCACAUUUUUCAAAUAUUUUUUACCAUUUAUUUAUUGCCUUUGGGGGGGCACACCCAUGACAUAUGGAAGUUCCCAGGCUAGGGGUCAAAUCAGAGCUGCAGCUGCUGGUCUAUGCUACAGCCACAGCAAUGCAGGAUCUGAGUUGCAUCUAUGACCUACACCACAGCUCACAGCAACAGCAGAUCCUUGACCCACUGAGCAAGGCUAGGGAUCAAACCCACGUUCUCAUGGAUACUAGUUGGGUUCAUUUCCACUGCGCCAAAUACAACAGGAACUCCCUAUGUAUUUAUUUUUAUUAAAGUAUAGUUGAUUUACAGUGGUUUGCUAAUUUCUGCUGUACAGCCUAAGGACCCAAUUUUCAAUGAAUUUUCUCUCUGCUUUCCCCAGUUUCUCUCUCUCUUCUGAACUCCUAUAAAAAAGAGAGAGAGAGAGAAGCCAGAGUUCACUUUUGCUUUUUCAUAUGCUAAUGACAUGUGUAUGUGAGGGUGUAUGCAUCUUCCACUCCCUUUUUCACAUCAGGAUGCCAUGCCCCAUGAUCCAAAACAAGACCUAUGAUUAAACAUGUAUUGGUAUCAGAUUUAUGUUUUAUCUCCAUGAUCUCAACCAUGAAGAGGUCAAUACGUUCUUGUUGUUUUUUAAUGGCCAAAAACCAUUAAAAAACCUCUAGGACAUCAGCAAGUUCAUCAUGAACUUUACUGUGGAGAGAUGUUCCAGCCACAUCUGUAAGUGUUUCCCUGUUCACCUCUUUGCUUACUUUGACUUGUUCCAAAAACCGAAGUGUCUUUUCCUUGGCAGUUUCACAUCCUUCUGUUAUUAUUCUUGGAUGAAGACCUUCGGAAAUUCAGGGAUCUGCCUAUUUCAGGAGCUCUCCAAUGAUUAGGACAUUAGAAGUAGUACCAUCAACAGUUAUAUCAUCCCGAGCUGUUGCUAUUUUGGCUAUUAAGGAGGCUUGUCGGUGUUGAAUUUGCCUUUCAGGAAGCAGCACACUCCCAUCUUUAGUAAGCUUGAGGUCUCUUAUACGAGCAACAAGCAUCUUCAUGGUACUCUUAGGCCCCAAGUUGGUCCUUGGCACAUCUUGCAACCCCAGGGCCAUGCUGAUGUUGACUUCCAGCACUGCCUGGACUCUAGCUACCUCAGACUUGGGUCAGGGUCUUCACAGCCACCAUGAAGCUGACCCAGCAGAGAAAGGUAGGGGGAACUUGUCAUGUGGAAACCCCAGAGCAGAUUCAGCUUUUCCUUCUUUACAGGUCCAAGUAUCCCUAUUUUAUAAGGAUACCAGUCAUAAUUAAUUAGGGGUCUAUCCUACUUUACUAUCAGCUUGUCAUAACAGUAUCUGCAACAACCUUUUGUGCAAAUAAGGUCACAUUCUAAGGUACUUGGAAUUAGGACUUUACCAUGUGAGUUUGCAGGGACACAAUUCAACCCAUAAGAAACACAUACUGUGCAUGUGUAUGCAUGUGUAUACACACAGUUGACUUCAAUAGCAUCUCUAAGGAAUGAAAAGGGCAAUUUAGUUUGGACCCUAUGCUCCAGACAAACCUACUGAGGCUCAGAGAAGUUAAGGGAUUAGAAGAACCUAGGUCUCUAGACUCAGGUGACCACCUUUCUAUUCCUUGGAAUAGCACGUCUCUUCUGAUGCCACCGCUUCUGCUAUUGCACCCAGCUAAUGGGUUCUGACUUUGGCCAAAACAAGUGUCAAGCUGCUGAACAGUCCCUAAAGCAUUUCUCAGACUGUGCUGACAGCAUCCUGGCAGCAGAGUGGGCACUGGGAUAAAAGUCUCUUCCAACACACAGCAUUCCUUGUGGGCUGCCUGAUGUUCCUGCCUUCUUACACAGCUAAGAGCCUAAAACCAGGAAGUCAAAUACAUAGGAACUGCAGGACAACAUGUUCUCUGCCAAAGGGGCUAGGUGUCUAUCAAUCCAAGCCCAUUGAAAGCUUACAAGUCAUCACAUGUUACUAUGUGCUCAAAGUUAUCACCAACCCACUAUCUAAUUUACUGAGGCAGCAUCUGUAAAUCUGAUAGGAGAACACCACAAAAUCUUCCUCUCCUCUAUUCCUAAACCCAAGUCCUCGUCUUUAAAUCAAUGCCUGAACAGAAGAACAAGACUACUGUUGUCUUAAAAGACCUGAGGUAGGAGGGUGUUAAUUAGCUUGGCAAAAUCUCAAAUUCACACACUCACCUAAAUGUCGCCUCUCAGAGAUGGAUCAUAGCCACGUGGACAACCAGACAGAUCAUCUGAAUAGAAACAGAAAAGGGGGUUUUCUGAGAAAGAGUCCUUAGAGGCUUCAGUAAAGACGCCCUGGAAAGGGAGUCAGGAGGCAGAUGCCUGCCGCUACCUCAGCACUAGCUAUGGAGCCUCUGCUGAGUGGCUUUCCUUUCCUGAGCCUUGCCUCUCCCAGCUGUAAAUGCAAGUGUUACAUUGAGAGAUCGCCAAUGUCCUUCCAAUUCUAACAUUUUAUCUGGGAGAAAAACCAGGUAAAUAAACUAUCCAUGUGCUCUUUAAAUGAACAACAGAUUCCAAAGAGGUGUGUAGCUUUCAUGCCGCUAAAAAGCCUGUAAACACCCCUUCCCACAGAGUUCCCCCAGGCAUCAUGGAGAUAGAAAAUUCUGAGGCACUAAGCAGCACUGACCCUGCUCCUUCUGAGGACACAUAAGUCAGUAGUCCCCAAGCACCCAGGGUGGCUCAAAUGGCAUUUGGACAUGGAUUCAAUGCAGGUUAUAGCAGCACGGGGUCUUCCCAAAGAGGACAGGAAACUAGCAUAAUGGAGUUCCCGUCGCAGCUCAGCGGAAAUGAAUCUGACUAGGAUUCAUGAGGAUGCAGGUUUGAUCCUUGGCCUUGCUCAGUGGGUUAAGGAUCCAGCGUUACCAUGAGCUGUGGUGUAGGUUGAAGAUGCAGCUUGGAUCUGGCAUUNNNNNNNNNNNNNNNNNNNNNNNNNNNNNNNNNNNNNNNNNNNNNNNNNNNNNNNNNNNNNNNNNNNNNNNNNNNNNNNNNNNNNNAAAAAAAAAAAAAAAAAAAAAAAAAAAAAAAAAAAAAAAAAAAAGGAAAAGAAAGAAAAAGAAAGAUAAAAGAAAGUGGCAUGAGGAAAGUAUCAGAGCAGACAAAGUGAGUCAAAGAUCAACGCUCACAGCUAAAAAGCCACACCAGAUCCUCACCUUUAGUGACUAUUCAAAGAACUGAAACCCCAGGAAGACAGAGAUCAUAAUUAAUGAUAGAUAUAUACCUGGGAAGUUGCAGACUGGCAACCACUGGACCAAAUUUGGGUAGGAGAUCUGUUUUAUUUAGCCUGUACAAUGUUUUCCAGAAAACUACUUUCCAACAUUUAAGAAAAUGGGAGUCUUUUUUAAAUACUUUUAGCUUCUCUUGAAAAAAAAAUUAGGAUGUUUGGUAACACUGGGCUUUAUUUCCAUUUGGCUGCCAUCUCCUUGGGCUGAAAAAUACCUGCCCAUGUCAGAUGGGGUGUGGCUUCCCAAUGUGUUAUAGGCCAGUUACCAGCUUUGCUAAUUUAUGGUAGCUUUCUAGGCUCAUCCAGAAAUAAAAUGAAUGAAGCCCAGGACAUCCAAUGCUGUUUGUCUCUGAAAACUUUUCAGUUUUCUAAAUGAUUACCAAGGACAAAUGGCAGCAUCAUCUAAAUCAUAAAUUUGAUAGCAAAAAAAAAAAAAAAAA